UCUUCUCUGAGCUAUUCCUCUCUAAACCUUUUGUAUACAAUUCCAUAGAUUUACUUACAUUUAUAUACUACACAUAUGAUUGGCGAACUAUUUUAUGCACAAAACUUAGUUUAAGAAUUUGAGCUCUCUAGCAUUACCUUUAGUAAAAUAGCAUUCGAGAAAAUAGUGUUUGAGCUUCCCUAUAGUUUAAAUGUAGACAUUUGAAGAAACUAAAUCAGUUUUCUUUUUCUUUUUUAUUAGAAAGAACUAAGGCAUUUUAUACUCAAAUUUAUCAAUACCUACAGAUUGUCCUGAAAAUUAAAAUUUUCUUCUUCAAAACCCGUGGGCUUACUUCCCCUUUCUCUGAUAUAAAUUAAUAUAAAAUGUCGCUCGUAAUAAAAUUAAGAUUAAAAAGAUUGUCAACUUGUGUGGCUCUCUUUUGGAUACCAUGUACUAUUGGACCCGAUUAAACAAAACCAAUGAUUUUUUUUGUCAACUAGCUUGAUCAUCAGCUCCAAUUUUCCAUUAUUUAAACAAAACCAAUGAUUUUUUUUGUUAAAAGCUCUAUUUUUCUAUUAUUCUGUCAAACAUUGCUGAUCCAACUCCCUUAAUAAUAAUAAACUUUAGAAAUAAAAAUUUGUUGAUCCAACUCCAAUUUUUUUAUUUAUUGAAUUUGAUCAGAUUUUCACCUGGAGAGUUGGAUGGUAUAUAUCAUUGUCAGCAAAAGGCAGCUCAACCGUUGGUAGCUAAAAGUUAUUGAAUAUAAAAACAUCUUGGUCUUUCGUUCUGUCAUAUUCCUAAUAUUAUAAUUUAUAAAAAGUACACACUUAAUUGAGAACAUGUUAGCCUCGCAGUAUUCGCCGUGUGUUUUGUGAGAUUGAUUUGAAAUAUGUAGAAAAUUCAUAGAUAUAGUUGAAUACUCUCCAUCUUUUAAUAUGAUAAGUUAUAAUUUUUAAAAAAGAAAAAAAAAGGAAAGAGAAAACUGGAGAUUCAACCCAUGCAUGUCUUGUGCGCGCAACGUAUGAUGUAGGUGUAAGUGGUUAUAUAUCUAUUGCAAUAGCGCCCAACCUUUUUAAAGUCAACUCCCAAAACGGUUGGAUAUUUAUGUUUAUUUUGUUUUCCCACGCCAAAACUUAUAAAAUCUUUCCUAUGCCCUAUGUUAUUAGAAAAAGGAUCCCUGAUCUCCAGAUGAGCUGUGAAUUCAAAUCAUCAAGGUUUAGCCUGCACUAUGAGAGAUUUUUCGAUAUACUUGAUACACUGUCAUGUGGCAUAACAAUUUCACUUAAAUUAUCACAUACAUUUAUUGUAUUUUAUAAAUAUACUUUAAAAGUAAAACAUAUCAAUCAUGUCGUUCACCACAUGCGGAGCCAAUUAAAGGCCUACAAAGGUCACUUGAAUAAACAUAACCUAAUCUCAUAUGUGCUUAAGGAUAAAGAGCUUCGAGACACUUGGGCUUAAAGGUGCAUGUCAUUUCAUUGUUUGCCUCAAGUUAGAUUGAUCCUCUUAUUAGAAAUUCUCACCAUUGUUGUCCACUCCUAUUGUAAUACGUAAAAUAAUACAUUACGUGGUAAGUGUUUUAAACAAGGCUUUAAUUUCUUGAUGUGAAAUUCAUUCUCAACAAAAUCCAUAUUCAUUGGAUAAAAUGAGACCUAUUCCCUGAUCAGUCAUUACAAUGCUGUCACAACCAAAUCUGGAAUUAAAGAUAUAAUUAUUUUUCAUUGAUGUUACUACCAGGAAUGUGCCGAUUUCAUAUUAUAUAUAUUUGAUUUUUCCAAAAAUUUAAUUUUGCUGUAAAUUAAUUGGCUCCUCAUUGUAUAUACAUCUAACCUGCAAAUAAAUGUACUCAAAUAUUAUGUUAAUGCCAUAUUUGUGAACCAAUUAUCACUGGCAUGCUUUUUUCCUUUUUAAUUAAUCGCGCCGGCCGUUUCUUUUAAUUUGAAUUUUCUGAAAAGGAAGUUAAUCUUAAACAUGGUCAACCAAACACAUGCAUGAACAAAGUAACUCCUAGUCAAUUUGCCAUGGUGUUCUUACCAUCGUUUUAUUUUUGCGGUCAAGCUACUUACCAUUUAUUACCAAGCAGAAGCGUUUAUUCCAGCGGUGGAUAUAUCUCAUAAAAUUAUUAGAUUUUUGGAUAAGAAAGCAAAAUAACAAAAAG
rnacentral:lncRNA from 1 species